AUUGAACGCUGGCGGCAGGCCUAACACAUGCCAGUCGAGCGGCAGCGGAAAGUAGCUUGCUCCUUUGCCGGCGAGCGGCGGACGGGUGAGUAAUGUCUGGGGAUCUGCCUGAUGGAGGGGGAUAACUACUGGAAACGGUAGCUAAUACCGCAUAACGUCGCAAGACCAAAGCGGGGGACCUUCGGGCCUCGCGCCAUCAGAUGAACCCAGAUGGGAUUAGCUAGUAGGUGGGGUAAUGGCUCACCUAGGCGACGAUCCCUAGCUGGUCUGAGAGGAUGACCAGCCACACUGGAACUGAGACACGGUCCAGACUCCUACGGGAGGCAGCAGUGGGGAAUAUUGCACAAUGGGCGCAAGCCUGAUGCAGCCAUGCCGCGUGUAUGAAGAAGGCCUUCGGGUUGUAAAGUACUUUCAGCGAGGAGGAAGGCGGUAAGGUUAAUAACCUUACUGAUUGACGUUACUCGCAGAAGAAGCACCGGCUAACUCCGUG
rnacentral:rRNA from 1 species